rnacentral:pre_miRNA from 1 species
CUUAUUUUUUUUCGUGUCUAACGUUUAAUUAUUUGUCUUAUUUAAAAAUUUUUUCGAUUAAUAUUUUUAUUAUUACUAGAUGAUAAAAUAUAAAUAUUAUUUAUACGUGACUAUUUUUUUAAGAUUUUGUACAAAAUUUUUAAAUAAGAUAAAUAGUUAAACGUUGAAUACGGGAAAAC